rnacentral:RNase_P_RNA from 2 species
UGAGUAAGCUGGAUGGUCGCUGCCUCGUAAGAGGGAGAGGAAAGUCCGAGCUCCGUAGGCAGGGUGCCGGGUAAUACCCGGUGGAGGCGACUCUAAGGAAAGUGCAACAGAGAUAUACCGCCCAUUUUAAGGUUGGAUGUUAGAGAUUAGAAUUUUGAUUUAAAUUUCUGAUAUCUAAUUUCUAACAUCCAACCUCUAAAUGUGGUAAGGGUGGAAAGGUGAGGUAAGAGCUCACCAGCACACUGGCGACUGUGUGGCUAUGUAAACCCCACCUGGAGCAAGAUCGAAUAGGGGAGCAUUUUAACGUCGGCCCGGCGUGCUCCCGGGUAGUAUCGCUUGAGCUAUCUGGUAACAGAUAGCCUAGAUAGAUGACCGUCUAAGACAGAACUCGGCUUAUAGGCUUACUCAGUUU